UGGGGAAUCUUGCACAAUGGGGGAAACCCUGAUGCAGCGACGCCGCGUGAGCGAUGAAGGUUUUCGAAUCGUAAAGCUCUGUCCUAUGGGAAGAUAAUGACGGUACCAUGGGAGGAAGCCCCGGCUAACUACGUGCCAGCAGCCGCGGUAAUACGUAGGGGGCGAGCGUUGUCCGGAAUUACUGGGCGUAAAGGGUUCGCAGGCGGCAUGGCAAGUCCGAUGUAAAAGGCGAAGGCUCAACCUUCGUAAGCAUCGGAAACUGUCAAGCUUGAGGGAAGGAGAGGCAAGUUGAAUUCCUAGUGUAGCGGUGGAAUGCGUAGAUAUUAGGAGGAAGACCGGUGGCGAAGGCGACUUGCUGGACUUCAACUGACGCUGAGGAACGAAAGCGUGGGUAGCAAACAGG
rnacentral:rRNA from 1 species